GUGGGGAAUUUUGCGCAAUGGGGGCAACCCUGACGCAGCGACGCCGCGUGCGGGACGAAGUCAUUCGUGACGUAAACCGCUUUCAGCGAGGAAGAACCAUGACGGUACUCGCAGAAGAAGCCCCGGCUAACUACGUGCCAGCAGCCGCGGUAAUACGUAGGGGGCGAGCGUUAUCCGGAAUCAUUGGGCGUAAAGCGCGCGCAGGCGGGCUUUCAAGCGGCGGCGUCGAAGCCGGGGGCUCAACCCCCGGAAGCGCCCCGAACUGGAAGCCUCGGAUGCGGCAGGGGGAGGCGGAAUUCCCGGUGUAGCGGUGAAAUGCGCAGAUAUCGGGAAGAACACCGACGGCGAAGGCAGCCUCCUGGGCCGGCAUCGACGCUGAGGCGCGAAAGCUGGGGGAGCGAACAGGAUUAGAAACCCUAGUAGUCC
rnacentral:rRNA from 1 species